GGGGCCAAGAGGACUCCUCGGACCCAAGGGACCUCCUGGGCUGCAAGGACCUCCCGGUAUUCGAGGAAUGGAUGGACCACAUGGCCCCAAAGGCAGCCUGGGACCACAGGGAGAACCUGGACCACCAGGCCAGCAAGGUGGCCAUGGAACUCAGGGAACACCUGGACCUCAGGGAGCGAUGGGACCUCCGGGCCACAAGGUAA